GACGAACGCUGGCGGCGCGCCUAACACAUGCAAGUCGAACGGGAGAGAGAGAGCUUGCUUUCUCGAGCGAGUGGCGAACGGGUGAGUAACGCGUGAGGAACCUGCCUCUAAGAGGGGGACAACAGUUGGAAACGACUGCUAAUACCGCAUAGGCCCACGACCCGGCAUCGGGGAGAGGGAAAAGUCGCACUCCGGUAUGGGAUGGCGUCGCGUCCGAUUAGCUAGGGGGUGAGGUAACGGCCCACCAAGGCGACGAAGGCUAGCCGGGCGGAGGGGCUGCACCGCUACGCUGGGGCUACGACACAGACCAGAAUCCUAGGCAAGGGAGGAGAGGGUAAUACAGCACGAUGGGGGAUGCUCUGAUGACGCGACGCGGGGUAGGGGAAGAUGGUCGUAGUAAAGUGAUCUCCCCUUGUACGGGAAGAGAAUGACGGUACUGGACAAAGAAGCACCGGCUAACUACGUG
rnacentral:rRNA from 1 species